GCAGACACAUUCCAGCCAAUCAGCAGCAGACCCUCCCUCCCAGACCCUCCCACCUCCUGGACAGCUCACUAAGAAUGCAGCUUCACAAUGAAUGUAAAAUGGAUGCUUUUCAGGAGAUGGGAGGGUCUGGGAGGGAGGGUCUGCUGCUGAUUGGCUGGAAUGUGUCUG
rnacentral:miRNA from 1 species